GCAAGGCCACUAGGGGGCGUCACAGCUGUCCCUGUGGCCAUGAACCUGAAGAAGAGGGAAAGGAACAAAGAUAAGGGAAAGUAGUAGUUUGUAUGCAUGCAGGGUGUCAGGUGUGUUCACUUAGGCAGAAUUUUGAAAUAAAUUCUGACUCUGUGAAAUCAUGAAAAGGGAAUCUUGCUGCAUUAUGGUCCAACAAUGUGCAGCACAAUGACUAGAGUUUUCAAAGCUUAAUUAAGUUUAAUAGAACGUAUGGGCCUAAAGAAUAAUACACUUUCAAAACAUCAACUCAGCUGUUCCAGACUGCCUGGAAUCAUCUUAGAGGUUCUAGAAAGACUGAUCAUUUGGAUUUGGUUUUCUUACCAGGUUCUUUGUUCACAGCAUCUUGUUUCAUUUAACUUUUAUGUGAAAAGGGUCCAUUUUUAAUUGUUAAAUUCUGUGGAAGAUGCACAUGCAAUUUCUUUCCUUGAUACAAAGUUUUAUCUUUAUAGUAUUUAUUUGUAGUACCAUAAUGCUUAAGAGCCUUGGUCACGGGCCAAACCCCAUUGAGCUCAAUGCUGGAGCAACACGAGAUAGAAAGAUUAUGGGUCCCUACGAGCUUACAGUCAUUAAAGAUGACACAAGAGGCACAGGCACUUCUGGGGAAGUACAAGGAAAGGUAAUGAAUGCAGCAUGGGUAGUCAAUGAGUUCAGUCCACUGAUGACUUAACUCCCUGCCGAGGUUUGUAGUAGUUAAUUGCUGACAUAAUAUUUAACUAAUAAUGUCUACAGUUUUUUAUAUUUCAAAAUUCAACAUGUAAUAUCGCCUGGAAUAUUUUUCCUGUCAUGGAGGAAACCUCUUUGAAACCUUUGCGGUAGGUGAGAUAUGUAUGGUACAAAACUCAUUUUUCUUUGUGUUUCUUAGGAGCUUCAGGCUUUAAUUCCCUCUUUGCUGUGUGCUGUGGCUAAAACAAGUGAUGCAGAUGCACUAAAAGCCAUAGAAGAAGUAGUAAAACACAUGUAUUUAAGCUUUUUAGGGGCACUAAUAUACACUGCAUUUAGAAUUGCAAAAUUGCAAGUGACUGAAAGCAGGAAACAUGACUGCCUUAUAAAAGCAAUGUUCUUCUUAAACAUGACAUUUCUAUUCCGUUAUAAGUCAGCAUUUUCCAGCAUCAAAAUAUUGAAGGCCAUUCUUAAUUUAAAAUUUAACUCAUUUAAAACAAAACAAAACAGCAAUAACCUGACUCGUUUUUGAGAUAAGUGAUUCCCAUGUGAUAGAAGAAUCUGCUCACUCAUUUUACUACAUUCUGAUAACUCAGAAUUAAAUCUUCCAAUUCAUCACAUAAUGAAUGGGCUAACUUUAAUGUGGCUGUCUUGUAAGUUUAUCUGUGAACCAUAAUGUAAAAACCACCAAGCUUAAAAGUGUUGAAGUUAACCAUCAGGGAAUAACAACAAAAAUGUAAUGUUAAGCAUUGUAUUUAGUGAUAUCAAUAGGUGGGCAUCUGAGCUCUUUCCAAAGUGGGAAAUAAGUAUUCAGAUGCUGAUGCUGGACCAGAACCAUGGAGUAGUAAAGUGAAUUGCCUUGGCUGGACUUCAGGAUAAAACCUAGAGUUUGGGAUUCUUAAUUCGGGACUCAAAGCCAGUGUAUCACAUUGGAAAAGCAGAUAAAUAUUUCAUUAUACUAACUUUUUACACAGUUACUUAAAUUUGUCCCUUUUGGGUUGUGCACUACUUUAUGCAGAAGAAAUCCAAAAACAUAUUCUCAAAAUUUGCUUUGUAGAGCACAAGAAAGUGGCCAUUUAUUAAUACAUAUCUGUUGGCACUCACUUAACAUCUGUGGCAUAUAAGCACCUAGAUUGAUAAAGCACAAGCUUCUGCAAUUUGAGCAUGGGGAAAAAUCUCUGACCUGGAGGUGGAAAAAAGUCUUUUAUAGAUCUUGAAAUGUAAAACUCUAGAACUCUUUGGUUCAGAGAUGAUACCUUUUAUUAGACCAACUAAGAAAUCACGCAAAAGGUAUCCUUUUCUGCAAGCUUUUGGGCGCAAACGCCCUUCCUCAGGCUCAGGGAAAAUUAAAGAUGGCAAAAAAAAGUCUCCAUAGGUAGAAAAUAAACUUCAUUUUUGCACAGAGGAAGCUGAAGGUGGAAGUCUGUUCCUCAAGGUCCAUGAGACUGUCUCUGUGAGUUGUUCUUUGCUGUGCAGAUAAGGCAGGAGUCCUUCCCAUCUCUACACUCCAGUCAGCCACCAGAGGGCAAAUUCUUUACGUACUCAGAACCAUACAGUUCCAUAAUACAAUCAUUGUCUUGCAUCCAGCUAAUCUAUUUUAACUAACAUUUUUUUUUAACUAAAAAAAUUUAGGGUUUUUCCUCCAAAAUAACAUGCUCAAAAAUGGUUUGGGAAAUCUGACUGUGGAGAGCUUGAAGGAUUAAUGAAGAAAGAUUAUAUUUGAGCUAAAGGGACAUAAACUUUAUGGAUGCAAGACAAAAUUUCAAGUCAAGGAGCUCCUUGGGAGCUGUGUGCUUGCUGCUGCCGGGCUCCUGCUGCUGCUGCUGGGCUCUCGCUGUCACCGCUGGAGCUGUGCCCCUGGCAGCUGCCGUGGGUGCUGUGUUCAUGAACGCAGUGCCUUAUUUGCAGAUUUCGCCAUUUGCGGGAAAUACGAUAGCAUAUCUCCCAUGAAUGAGGAGGGUCACCUGUACUUGUUAGAUCAAAAUGUGUUAGAGCUGUGCUUGUACACAAUAAACCUGGCCAAAUCUUUGCCACUGAA